GGCGCUUUAGCGCAGUGGUUAGAGUGUCAGAUUUCAAAGCUUGAGACUCGGGUUCAAAACCCCUCCUGGUUG